CCUACGGGGUGUAGCAGUGAGGAAUAUUGGUCAAUGGACGCAAGUCUGAACCAGCCAUGCCGCGUGCAGGAAGACGGCUCUAUGAGUUGUAAACCGCUUUUGUACGAGGGUAAACGCAGAUACGCGUAUCUGUCUGAAAGUAUCGUACGAAUAAGGAUCGGCUAACUCCGUGCCAGCAGCCGCGGUAAUACGGAGGAUUCAAGCGUUAUCCGGAUUUAUUGGGUUUAAAGGGUGCGUAGGCGGUCGGAUAAGUUAGAGGUGAAAUCCCGAGGCUCAACUUCGGAAUUGCCUCUGAUACUGUUCGGCGAGAGAGUAGUUGCGGUAGGCGGAAUGUAUGGUGUAGCGGUGAAAUGCUUAGAGAUCAUACAGAACACCGAUUGCGAAGGCAGCUUACCAAGCUACUUCUGACGUUGAGGCACGAAAGCGUGGGGAGCAAACAGGAUUAGAUACCCGAGUAGUC
rnacentral:rRNA from 1 species